rfam:Monodelphis domestica chromosome 2, whole genome shotgun sequence.
AAAAAGGCCCUUUUCAGGGCCCCCCAACUUUUCAUUAAAAAAGCUGU